rnacentral:rRNA from 1 species
GAUGAACGCUGGCGGCGUGCCUAAUACAUGCAAGUCGAGCGAACGGACGAGAAGCUUGCUUCUCUGAUGUUAGCGGCGGACGGGUGAGUAACACGUGGAUAACCUACCUAUAAGACUGGGAUAACUUCGGGAAACCGGAGCUAAUACCGGAUAAUAUUUUGAACCGCAUGGUUCAAAAGUGAAAGACGGUCUUGCUGUCACUUAUAGAUGGAUCCGCGCUGCAUUAGCUAGUUGGUAAGGUAACGGCUUACCAAGGCAACGAUGCAUAGCCGACCUGAGAGGGUGAUCGGCCACACUGGCACUGAGACACGGUCCAGACUCCUACGGGAGGCAGCAGUAGGGAAUCUUCCGCAAUGGGCGAAAGCCUGACGGAGCAACGCCGCGUGCGUGAUGAAGGUCUUCGGAUCGUAAAACUCUGUUAUUAGGGAAGAACAUAUGUGUAAGUAACUGUGCACAUCUUGACGGUACCUAAUCAGAAAGCCACGGCUAACUACGUG